GGAGGUGGCAGCAAUCUGGCUGCAACAUCUGUCAUCCCCACUGAUAGACAGGGUUGAUUUGGAUGCUCUGGCUGGCUAGGUGGGUGUCCCUCACUCCCUCACUGUGCCAUGUAUGUCCCCCCUGAAGCUUCACACUUGGUGGGAGAGGAUGACCUUCCCUGAAUAGAGGAGGACCAGUUUUCUGUCCAGGUUAUCUGAGAGUGCCUGUACUUCCCUGUUAGAACCUCCAAACAAGCUCUCAAGAAUGUGUUAUUUCAUGGGGUUCAGGAUAUGGCUCUGUUGGUAACAUGAGGCAAGCAUGAAGACACAAGUUUGAUCUCCAGACCCCACAUAAAAUCUGAACGUGGUGGUGUAUGUCCACAAUGCCAGCUCUGGGCUUCUGG
rnacentral:snRNA from 1 species